AUUGAACGCUGGCGGCAGGCUUAACACAUGCAAGUCGAGCGAGUGGCGGACGGGUGAGUAAUGUCUGGGAAACUGCCCGAUGGAGGGGGAUAACUACUGGAAACGGUAGAUAAUAACGCAUACCAUCAGAUGUGCCCAGAUGGGAUUAGCUAGUAGGUGGGGUAAUGGCUCACCUAGGCGACGAUCCCUAGCUGGUCUGAGAGGAUGACCAGCCACAGUGGAACUGAGACACGUGCCAGAUGCCUACGGGAGGCAGCGGGGGGGAAUAUUGCACAAUGGGCGCAAGCCUGAUGCAGCCAUGCCGCGUGUGUGAAGAAGGCCGUCGGGUUGUAAAGUACUUUCAGCGAGGAGGCGUUACUCGCAGAAGAAGCACCGGCUAACUCCGUGCCAGCAGCCGCGGUAAUUC
rnacentral:rRNA from 1 species